rnacentral:rRNA from 1 species
UACGUAGGGGGGCAAGCGUUGUCCGGAAUCAUUGGGCGUAAAGCGCGUGUAGGCGGCUCGGUAAGUCCGCUCUGAAAGUCCAGGGCUCAACCCUGGGAUGCGGGUGGAUACUGCCGAGCUCGAGUCCGGAAGAGGCGAGUGGAAUUCCUGGUGUAGCGGUGAAAUGCGCAGAUAGUUCGGAAGAACACCAGUGGCGAAGGCGGACUCGCCUGGACAAGUAUUGACGGCUGAGGUGCGAAAGCGUGGGGAGCAA